rnacentral:piRNA from 1 species
UGGGUUGGAAGAUGGGGUGACCACAGAAG